UACAAUUUCAUGAGUUAAACAAGAAGGCUAAUAUAGUUGAUAAUUUACUUAAAGUACAAAAUGUGAACAUUUCACCCAAAGUGUUACUAAGUCACGUUGAUAAGUGUUAGUGGGUAAAUUUUCUGAUUUAUGGUUGGGAAACAAAAAGGGAAAAAGGAAAAGAGGAAGCCAUGGUCAAUUCCCCCAUUAAUUUGCCUUCUUCCUCACCCUUUCAUGGCCAUUUGACACUCAUGCAAUCACAACUAUCUUCUUCUUCUUCAGUCAAGAUCUAUCACCAACCCAUCACCAUUGCUUCUUCAAGUUAACAAAAUCAGAUUAUUUACUUCACCAUCUUCCUCCCAACUACUGAUUUUAACUCCAAAUUUCCCUAUAAAUAGUCAUGGAUUCAAUACCAAGAACACACCAACAACAACCUUCAUCAUCUCUUCUCUCUAAUCAGAAAUUCAGUCAAUAAUCGCCAGAAAAUUGUAACUAAAAGAAAUAAAAAAAAAAAAAAAAAAAAGAAAAGAGAAAACCCCAAAUUCAUAAUCUCUCUCCUCUGUUUCGACCUCCCACAACCGACCACCGCGGCCACCGCGCGCGCCACCUGCGCCGCGCCCAGUCCCGUCCCCACCCCGCUGUCGUUCGCCGACCACCUGCACAGCUUGCCGGAGAUCCGCGCUAGCAGCUUUGUUCUAUCUCUCCUCCUCGCGCACUCUCUCUCCUCGUCGCGCUCUCUCUCGUCGCUCCUCUUCGCGUGCCGCUGCUGCUGCCUUUCGCCGCCGCCGGAUACCAUCGCCGGAGACGUCGCUGCUGCUCGCCGUCGACCACCGAAGCCGGCGUCCACCUCAGUCGCGAUUCGUCCCCCUUGCUCCUAGUAGCAGAGAUUAAAGGAGAUAAAGGAUAUUACAAGCCUCCCCCGACUAUCAAGGUUAUUAAGCAGGAAUUCAGGUACCGAAGGUGAUAAGGGGAUGGCGUAGCAGUGAGGAUUUAAUUAAUAUCGAGAUUAUAUAGACUCUCAUGAUUUUAAUUUAAGUUUAUGUCAAAACUCUGAUUAGUAACUAAGUUUCUGGUAAUCAAGACUAAUGUUGAAUCUAUAUUAUGUUUCAUGUUACAAAAUGUUUAAGUUUAUGAUUUUAUGUCGCCUUGUAUUUUCCUUAUGGAAAGUACGGCGGUAACGCGCCGACUAUCUAGGUUCCGCUGCUAAUAAUCGAUUAAUUAACUUACCAACGAUGAUUAGAGGUCGGGGCGUUACAUUAAGACCCAACCGUAGGAUUAACCCAUGCUUUAGAUAUUUGACUAAUUGAACUAUUGAUGAUAUUUUGAUAGAUUUUAGUUAUAAACAUGGUGAACCAUUAUCCUAUAUCCUUUUUAGUUUGAUUUUCGUAGUUUGAUUGUUUGGAACUUUCAUUCAAAUAUUUGUGAUCUUGUUUAAUUUCUCUAUACCUUAGAAACUAGAUUAAGACGACCAUCUCUAUGUGGAUUCGACCCUACUUACACUACUACAUUGUUAGAAGAUUUUGCAGGAAUUAUUUUUGACAGGUGUACGACAGCCUAUCAAAUUUAGGCGUCCUUGACAGGGAGACGGUAUAGUUUUAUUUAGUUUUUAUUGUUGGUGAGAAUAAAUUGUAUAUUUUUUUCCCUUUUGUGAAUAUUUAUAUAUUUUUAUAAUUUUUUUGUAUCAUGGAGUCAUGCUAUUUUGAUGACGGGGAUAAAUCUUUUGCUAGGCAACAUAGUAAUGAUCCUUGGGAUUCUCAUGUUUACAGUUUUGAUGCAUCACAUCAAAAUCGAUCCUCCCAAUUUUUGCAUGAGUUCUCCUAAUUUACCUCAUAUGUUCUAUGAAUCUCAUGUACAUGUUAGUAAUUCUAGAAUAAUUUUUUCUUUUAGUCAGUAUAAGAAUGAAGUGUUUUUGAAGUA